GCUGCCCCUAGAGGCAUUGCAGGUGUGACUGCUGUGUCACAUGUGCAUCCAUCCAUAGGUGGCAGAGAGGAGAGAGGCUGUGUCUGUGCUCAAUGAUCUGACCUGUGACCAUCUGAAUGAUUAGUACCCUAACAUU